GACGAACGCUGGCGGCGUGCUUAACACAUGCAAGUCGAACGCUGAAGCUCAGCUUUUGUUGGGUGGAUGAGUGGCGAACGGGUGAGUAACACGUGAGUAACCUGCCUCCUUCUUUGGGAUAACGCCCGGAAACGGGUGCUAAUACUGGAUAUUCACUGGUCUUCGCAUGGGGGUUGGUGGAAAGGGUUUUUCUGGUGGGGGAUGGGCUCGCGGCCUAUCAGCUUGUUGGUGGGGUGAUGGCCUACCAAGGCUUUGACGGGUAGCCGGCCUGGGAGGGUGACCGGUCACAUUGGGACUGGGAUACGGCCCAGACUCCUACGGGAGGCAGCAGUGGGGAAUAUUGCACAAUGGGCGCAAGCCUGAUGCAGCGACGCCGCGUGAGGGAUGGAGGCCUUCGGGUUGUGAACCUCUUUCGCUCAUGGUCAAGCCGCAACAAUGGUUGUGGUGAGGGUAGUGGGUAAAGAAGCGCCGGCUAACUACGUG
rnacentral:rRNA from 1 species